rnacentral:rRNA from 1 species
GAUCUGCCCACUAGGGGGGGAUAGCUCGGGGAAACUCGAAUUAAUACCGCAUACACCCUACGGGGAAAAGGGGGCGCUUGCGCUCUCGCUAUUGGAUGAGCCUAAGUCGGAUUAGCUAGUUGGUGGGGUAAAGGCCUACCAAGGCGACGAUCUGUAGCUGGUCUGAGAGGAUGAUCAGCCACACCGGGACUGAGACACGGCCCGGACUCCUACGGGAGGCAGCAGUGGGGAAUAUUGGACAAUGGGGGCAACCCUGAUCCAGCCAUGCCGCGUGUGUGAAGAAGGCCUUUUGGUUGUAAAGCACUUUAAGCAGUGAAGAAGACCUAACGGUUAAUACCCGUUAGCGAUGACAUUAGCUGCAGAAUAAGCACCGGCUAACUCUGUGCCAGCAGCCGCGGUAAUACAGAGGGUGCAAGCGUUAAUCGGAAUUACUGGGCGUAAAGCGAGCGUAGGUGGCUUGAUAAGUCAGAUGUGAAAUCCCCGGGCUUAACCUGGGAACUGCAUCUGAUACUGUUGGGCUAGAGUAGGUGAGAGGGAGGUAGAAUUUCAGGUGUAGCGGUGAAAUGCGUAGAGAUCUGAAGGAAUACCGAUGGCGAAGGCAGCCUCCUGGCAUCAUACUGACACUGAGGUUCGAAAGCGUGGGUAGCAAACAGGAUUAGAUACCCUGGUAGUCCACGCCGUAAACGAUGUCUACUAGUCGUUGGGGAACUUGAUUCCUUAGUGACGCAGCUAACGCAAUAAGUAGACCGCCUGGGGAGUACGGCCGCAAGGUUAAAACUCAAAUGAAUUGACGGGGGCCCGCACAAGCGGUGGAGCAUGUGGUUUAAUUCGAUGCAACGCGAAGAACCUUACCUGGUCUUGACAUAUCUAGAAUCCUGCAGAGAUGCGGGAGUGCCUUC